GGUUAAGCGACUAAGCGUACACGGUGGAUGCCCUGGCAGUCAGAGGCGAUGAAGGACGUGCUAAUCUGCGAUAAGCGUCGGUAAGGUGAUAUGAACCGUUAUAACCGGCGAUUUCCGAAUGGGGAAACCCAGUGUGAUUCGUCACACUAUCAUUAACUGAAUCCAUAGGUUAAUGAGGCGAACCGGGGGAACUGAAACAUCUAAGUACCCCGAGGAAAAGAAAUCAACCGAGAUUCCCCCAGUAGCGGCGAGCGAACGGGGAGCAGCCCAGAGCCUGAAUCAGUGUGUGUGUUAGUGGAAGCGUCUGGAAAGGCGCGCGAUACAGGGUGACAGCCCCGUACACAAAAAUGCACAUGCUGUGAGCUCGAUGAGUAGGGCGGGACACGUGGUAUCCUGUCUGAAUAUGGGGGGACCAUCCUCCAAGGCUAAAUACUCCUGACUGACCGAUAGUGAACCAGUACCGUGAGGGAAAGGCGAAAAGAACCCCGGCGAGGGGAGUGAAAAAGAACCUGAAACCGUGUACGUACAAGCAGUGGGAGCACAGAGCAAUCUGUGUGACUGCGUACCUUUUGUAUAAUGGGUCAGCGACUUAUAUUCUGUAGCAAGGUUAACCGAAUAGGGGAGCCGAAGGGAAACCGAGUCUUAACUGGGCGUUAAGUUGCAGGGUAUAGACCCGAAACCCGGUGAUCUAGCCAUGGGCAGGUUGAAGGUUGGGUAACACUAACUGGAGGACCGAACCGACUAAUGUUGAAAAAUUAGCGGAUGACUUGUGGCUGGGGGUGAAAGGCCAAUCAAACCGGGAGAUAGCUGGUUCUCCCCGAAAGCUAUUUAGGUAGCGCCUCGUGAAUUCAUCUCCGGGGGUAGAGCACUGUUUCGGCAAGGGGGUCAUCCCGACUUACCAACCCGAUGCAAACUGCGAAUACCGGAGAAUGUUAUCACGGGAGACACACGGCGGGUGCUAACGUCCGUCGUGAAGAGGGAAACAACCCAGACCGCCAGCUAAGGUCCCAAAGUCAUGGUUAAGUGGGAAACGAUGUGGGAAGGCCCAGACAGCCAGGAUGUUGGCUUAGAAGCAGCCAUCAUUUAAAGAAAGCGUAAUAGCUCACUGGUCGAGUCGGCCUGCGCGGAAGAUGUAACGGGGCUAAACCAUGCACCGAAGCUGCGGCAGCGACACUAUGUGUUGUUGGGUAGGGGAGCGUUCUGUAAGCCUGUGAAGGUGUGCUGUGAGGCAUGCUGGAGGUAUCAGAAGUGCGAAUGCUGACAUAAGUAACGAUAAAGCGGGUGAAAAGCCCGCUCGCCGGAAGACCAAGGGUUCCUGUCCAACGUUAAUCGGGGCAGGGUGAGUCGACCCCUAAGGCGAGGCCGAAAGGCGUAGUCGAUGGGAAACAGGUUAAUAUUCCUGUACUUGGUGUUACUGCGAAGGGGGGACGGAGAAGGCUAUGUUGGCCGGGCGACGGUUGUCCCGGUUUAAGCGUGUAGGCUGGUUUUCCAGGCAAAUCCGGAAAAUCAAGGCUGAGGCGUGAUGACGAGGCACUACGGUGCUGAAGCAACAAAUGCCCUGCUUCCAGGAAAAGCCUCUAAGCAUCAGGUAACAUCAAAUCGUACCCCAAACCGACACAGGUGGUCAGGUAGAGAAUACCAAGGCGCUUGAGAGAACUCGGGUGAAGGAACUAGGCAAAAUGGUGCCGUAACUUCGGGAGAAGGCACGCUGAUAUGUAGGUGAAGCGACUUGCUCGUGGAGCUGAAAUCAGUCGAAGAUACCAGCUGGCUGCAACUGUUUAUUAAAAACACAGCACUGUGCAAACACGAAAGUGGACGUAUACGGUGUGACGCCUGCCCGGUGCCGGAAGGUUAAUUGAUGGGGUCAGCGCAAGCGAAGCUCUUGAUCGAAGCCCCGGUAAACGGCGGCCGUAACUAUAACGGUCCUAAGGUAGCGAAAUUCCUUGUCGGGUAAGUUCCGACCUGCACGAAUGGCGUAAUGAUGGCCAGGCUGUCUCCACCCGAGACUCAGUGAAAUUGAACUCGCUGUGAAGAUGCAGUGUACCCGCGGCAAGACGGAAAGACCCCGUGAACCUUUACUAUAGCUUGACACUGAACAUUGAGCCUUGAUGUGUAGGAUAGGUGGGAGGCUUUGAAGUGUGGACGCCAGUCUGCAUGGAGCCGACCUUGAAAUACCACCCUUUAAUGUUUGAUGUUCUAACGUUGACCCGUGAUCCGGGUUGCGGACAGUGUCUGGUGGGUAGUUUGACUGGGGCGGUCUCCUCCUAAAGAGUAACGGAGGAGCACGAAGGUUGGCUAAUCCUGGUCGGACAUCAGGAGGUUAGUGCAAUGGCAUAAGCCAGCUUGACUGCGAGCGUGACGGCGCGAGCAGGUGCGAAAGCAGGUCAUAGUGAUCCGGUGGUUCUGAAUGGAAGGGCCAUCGCUCAACGGAUAAAAGGUACUCCGGGGAUAACAGGCUGAUACCGCCCAAGAGUUCAUAUCGACGGCGGUGUUUGGCACCUCGAUGUCGGCUCAUCACAUCCUGGGGCUGAAGUAGGUCCCAAGGGUAUGGCUGUUCGCCAUUUAAAGUGGUACGCGAGCUGGGUUUAGAACGUCGUGAGACAGUUCGGUCCCUAUCUGCCGUGGGCGCUGGAGAACUGAGGGGGGCUGCUCCUAGUACGAGAGGACCGGAGUGGACGCAUCACUGGUGUUCGGGUUGUCAUGCCAAUGGCACUGCCCGGUAGCUAAAUGCGGAAGAGAUAAGUGCUGAAAGCAUCUAAGCACGAAACUUGCCCCGAGAUGAGUUCUCCCUGACUCCUUGAGAGUCCUGAAGGAACGUUGAAGACGACGACGUUGAUAGGCCGGGUGUGUAAGCGCAGCGAUGCGUUGAGCUAACCGGUACUAAUGAACCGUGAGGCUUAACCUU
rnacentral:rRNA from 1 species